GAAAUCUGGCUGGUUUACUAGUCCGAGUUGUAAUUUAAAGAAGCGUUUUCGGUGGCAGCCUGGGUAUAAAUCCUUUGGAAUAGGGUAUCAUAGAGGGUGAGAAUCCCGUCUUUGACCUAGUGCAUGCUACUAUGUGAUACGUUUUCAAAGAGUCGAGUUGUUUGGGAAUGCAGCUCAAAAUGGGUGGUAAAUUUCAUCUAAAGCUAAAUAUUGGCGAGAGACCGAUAGCGAACAAGUACCGUGAGGGAAAGAUGAAAAGAACUUUGAAAAGAGAGUUAAACAGUGCGUGAAAUUGUUGAAAGGGAAACGUUUGACACCAGUCAUGUGGGUGGAAAAUCAGUCUUUUGCAUUGGGGAGUUGUAAGGGUUCGGACCGCAAGGCCGGCUUUUGCUUCAUCUUUGGUGUAAGUGAUGCACUUUUUCAUCUACAGGUCAACAUCAGUUUCUUUUGCUGGACAAAACUCCGAGAGAAGGUAGCAGCUUAGGCUGUGUUAUAGCUCUGGAGCGAUACAGUGAAGGGGACUGAGGUUUUCGCAGCGUGUGCUCUCGGGCAAGGCUGGAUGGGUGCUAUGGGAUCGUUCGGGGUACAAUGCCUGGCAUUUUGCUUCGUGUCUUUUCUAUACUCGCUCAACUCAGCUCUUCCACGCUUAGGAUGUUGACUUAAUGGUUUUAAACGACCCGUCUUGAAACACGGACCAAGGAGUCUAACAUAUAUGCAAGUGUUUGGGCGGCAAACCCAUGCGCGUAAUGAAAGUGAACGUAGGUGCGAUCCGCAAGGUGCAGCAUCGACCGAUCUUGAUAUUUUUGGAUAGAUUUGAGUAAGAGCAUAUAUGCUGGGACCCGAAA
rnacentral:rRNA from 1 species